rnacentral:lncRNA from 1 species
AGUAGAGAACGGACAGCAGCCCAAAUAGAACUAUGUUCAAUCCUUUCCUCUAAUUCAUCAUAAUUGUGCCCUAGUUAUACACUCGCAAAUUCUAGGAUGCAAUAGCACCUAAGACGCUUUGGUGGGAUUUAUAUUCCGGUUUGUAUUGCUAAGUCAUUUUUAUUGUCAGCAUCUUAUUAUGUUAAUUUGGACUAUGUGUUUAUAACUAUUGCAUUAUUAUAGGUGGCAAAAAAUCUGACCAGGCCCUGUUAGAGCAUCCUUAAUUGCUCCACAUGCCGCCGCUGUCGUCGCUCGCCGGAGACGGAUUUGGCCUACCCACCGCCGGAUCUAGACACACCAUAACCAGAGAUCUAGACCCACCGUGGCUAGAUCUAGACCGGCAACUUCCUUAGCGCACCACCGCUGGGCACCUCUCCCGCUUGGCACCGUCGCUGGAGAAGGACGCAUCGAGGAGGGCACUUCCUCGCAUGGGAAAUUGUCGCUCACCACCUCCUUGGGCCGAAAGUUGCUCGCGGCGACCUCCUUUGGCUAGAUCUCAUCGGCUGCCACCUCUUCAGGCCAGAUCUCGCCGAGCGCCACCUCCUUAGGUUGGAUCUUGCCAAGCACCUCGCCCACUCCCAUGCCUGAGCCACCAAGGUGCUAUCCUGCCUCGCCUGCGCCCAUGCUUGAGGAGCACCGCUGCCUCGCCUACGCCGCCAACGUUGUUGUCUCGCUGUUGGAGGAGCUUAGGCGAUGAGCUGGGGAGGGGAGGGGCUUGAGAGAACGAGGGAGGAAAGGGAGGGUGGCAGUGCUGCUCAGAAGGGAGAGGGAGGACAAGAGGUGGCAGCUCUGCUCGGGAGGGGAGAAGGAGUUGCAAUGCAAGAGGAAAGGGCACGCUCACAUG